rnacentral:rRNA from 1 species
GAUGAACGCUGGCGGCGUGCCUAACACAUGCAAGUCGAACGGAGUCCAGCCUUUAAGACCUUCGGGUCAAAGAGGGGAAGACUGAGUGGCGGACGGGUGAGUAACACGUGGGCAACCUGGCUCAUAGAGGGGGAUAACAGAGAGAAAUUUCUGCUAAUACCGCAUAAGCACACACUGCCGCAUGGCAGAGGGUGAAAAGAGAAUCGCUAUGAGAUGGACCCGCGUCUGAUUAGCCAGUUGGCAGGGUAAGAGCCUACCAAAGCGACGAUCAGUAGCCGAUCUGAGAGGAUGAACGGCCACAUUGGGACUGAGACACGGCCCAAACUCCUACGGGAGGCAGCAGUGGGGGAUAUUGCACAAUGGGGGGAACCCUGAUGCAGCGACGCCGCGUGAGUGAAGAAGUAUUUCGGUAUGUAAAGCUCUAUCAGCAGGGAAGAUAAUGACAGUACCUGAAUAAGAGGCCCCGGCUAACUACGUG